GGAUGUGAGGGCAAUCUGGCUGUGACAUCUGUCACCCCAUUGAUCGCCAGGGUUGAUUCGGCUGAUCAGGCUGGGUAGGCGGGUGUCCCCUUUCUCCCUCACCACUCCAUGUGUGUCCCUCCCGAAGCUGCGCACUCGGUUGAAGAGGACGACCAUCCCCGAUAGAGGAGGACCGGUCUUCGGUCAAGGGUAUACGAGUAGCUGUGCUCCCCUGCUAGAACCUCCAAACAAGCUCUCAGAUUAUUACACAAUGUAAUUAGUAUAUCCAUCACUUCAAACACUUGUCAUUUCUUUGUAGUAAGAACAUU
rnacentral:snRNA from 1 species